ACCAGGUGGAGCAGGUGCUGCUGGCAUAUUCCAGGUGCAUCCAGGCCUGUGGCCAGGAGAGAGGCCAGGUGACAGGGGCCCUGCUCCUCUCUGUGGUUGGAGGAAAGAUGAGUGAAGGGAUCAACUUCUCUGACAACCUAGGCCGGUCUGCAGAGCUGCAGGAGAAGAUGGCCUACUUGGAUCAAACCCUCGCAGGGCCAUCAGGCACCAGAAGGAUUUUGCCAGCGUAGUGCUCCUGGACCAGCGAUAUGCCCGGCCCCCUGUCCUGGCCAAGCUGCCGGCCUGGAUCCGAGCCCGUGUGGAGGUCAAAGCUACCUUUGGCCCCGCCAUUGCUGCUGUGCAGAAGUUUCACCGGGAGAAGUCGGCCUCUUCCUGAUGGGCAACCACACCACUGCCUGGCGCCGUGCCCUUCCUUUGUCCUGCCCGCUGGAGACAGUGUUUGUCGUGGGCGUGGUCUGCGGGGAUCCUGUUACAAAGGUGAAACCCAGGAGGAGAGUGUGGAGUCCAGAGUGCUGCCAGGACCCAGGCACAGGCGUUAGCUCCCG
rnacentral:lncRNA from 1 species